rnacentral:ncRNA from 1 species
AAAACAGGGAAUGAGGUUCUCCCAGGAUAAUUAGAUCCGAACCGCUUUAAGCUGAUGACUUCUGCUC